UGGGGAAUAUUGCACAAUGGGCGAAAGCCUGAUGCAGCAACGCCGCGUGAGUGAUGAAGGUCUUCGGAUUGUAAAGCUCUGUCUUUUGGGACGAUAAUGACGGUACCAAAGGAGGAAGCCACGGCUAACUACGUGCCAGCAGCCGCGGUAAUACGUAGGUGGCGAGCGUUGUCCGGAUUUACUGGGCGUAAAGGGUGCGUAGGCGGAUGUUUAAGUGAGAUGUGAAAUACCCGGGCUUAACUUGGGUGCUGCAUUUCAAACUGGAUAUCUAGAGUGCAGGAGAGGAGAAUGGAAUUCCUAGUGUAGCGGUGAAAUGCGUAGAGAUUAGGAAGAACACCAGUGGCGAAGGCGAUUCUCUGGACUGUAACUGACGCUGAGGCACGAAAGCGUGGGUAGCAAACAGGAUUAGAUACCCUGGUAGUCCACGCCGUAAACGAUGAGUACUAGGUGUAGGAGGUAUCGACCCCCUUCU
rnacentral:rRNA from 1 species